rnacentral:lncRNA from 10 species
UAAGGCAGAUAAUGGAGAUCAUUCUCACAAAGGUCUCACCUGAAGCUGAUGAGGACAAGGGGGUUGCUCCAUGUAGCUGGGAUCCAGGCACUUGGAUUGAACGAGGCUCUGAUGUUUCGAUGCAUGGCAUUUAUGGCUGGCCUGGUGCUGAUGUCCAACAGGGAAAAGGGAGAGAAGGGAAAGUAUGAGAGGAUCACAUGGGAGGUUUACUUGGACCAGACUUGGAGGUGGCAUCUUCACUUUCACCAUGUCCUGUAAGCCUGAAUCUCAUCCCUUGACACCUGGAUGCUGCGUUCCCUAGGGCAUGUCAUCACUUUGCAGCAACAUCUCUUCUCUGUAGAAGUUGGAUGACUGGCCAUCUCUGCCAUCAGUGUCAUGUGAGACGAGCAAAUAGUAUAUAGGAACUUGCCCAGCAUUGCGAGGCAUUGUGACCCCUGAUGCUGGAUUUUAUCUCUUCAUGGAGUAUCUUCUGCUUCUAAGUUUCCCCAGCCUGGC